AUUGGACGCUGGCGGCAGGCUUAACACAUGCAAGUCGAGCGGAGAUGAGGUGCUUGCACCUUAUCUUAGCGGCGGACGGGUGAGUAAUGCUUAGGAAUCUGCCUAUUAGUGGGGGACAACAUUCCGAAAGGAAUGCUAAUACCGCAUACGCCCUACGGGGAAAGCAGGGGAUCUUCGGACCUUGCGCUAAUAGAUGAGCCUAAGUCGGAUUAGCUAGUUGGUGGGGUAAAGGCCUACCAAGGCGACGAUCUGUAGCGGGUCUGAGAGGAUGAUCCGCCACACUGGGACUGAGACACGGCCCAGACUCCUACGGGAGGCAGCAGUGGGGAAUAUUGGACAAUGGGCGGAAGCCUGAUCUAGCCAUGCCGCGUGUGUGAAGAAGGCCUUUUGGUUGUAAAGCACUUUAAGCGAGGAGGAGGCUACCUGGAUUAAUACUCUAGGAUAGUGGACGUUACUCGCAGAAUAAGCACCGGCUAACUCUGUGCCAGCCGCCGCGGUAAGAC
rnacentral:rRNA from 1 species